AACUCUGGGAUAAGCCUGGGAAACUGGGUCUAAUACCGGAUAGGAGCGCCCACCGCAUGGUGGGUGUUGGAAAGAUUUAUCGGUUUUGGAUGGACUCGCGGCCUAUCAGCUUGUUGGUGAGGUAAUGGCUCACCAAGGCGACGACGGGUAGCCGGCCUGAGAGGGUGACCGGCCACACUGGGACUGAGACACGGCCCAGACUCCUACGGGAGGCAGCAGUGGGGAAUAUUGCACAAUGGGCGAAAGCCUGAUGCAGCGACGCCGCGUGAGGGAUGACGGCCUUCGGGUUGUAAACCUCUUUCAGUAGGGAAGAAGCGAAAGUGACGGUACCUGCAGAAGAAGCACCGGCUAACUACGUGCCAGCAGCCGCGGUAAUACGUAGGGUGCGAGCGUUAUCCGGAAUUAUUGGGCGUAAAGAGCUCGUAGGCGGUUUGUCGCGUCUGUCGUGAAAGUCCGGGGCUUAACCCCGGAUCUGCGGUGGGUACGGGCAGACUAGAGUGCAGUAGGGGAGACUGGAAUUCCUGGUGUAGCGGUGGAAUGCGCAGAUAUCAGGAGGAACACCGAUGGCGAAGGCAGGUCUCUGGGCUGUAACUGACGCUGAGGAGCGAAAGCAUGGGGAGCGAACAGGAUUAGAUACCCUGGUAGUCCAUGCCGUAAACGUUGGGCACUAGGUGUGGGGACCAUUCCACGGUUUCCGCGCCGCAGCUAACGCAUUAAGUGCCCCGCCUGGGGAGUACGGCCGCAAGGCUAAAACUCAAAGGAAUUGACGGGGGCCCGCACAAGCGGCGGAGCAUGCGGAUUAAUUCGAUGCAACGCGAAGAACCUUACCAAGGCUUGACAUGUUCUCGAUCGCCGUAGAGAUACGGUUUCCCCUUUGGGGCGGGUUCACAGGUGGUGCAUGGUUGUCGUCAGCUCGUGUCGUGAGAUGUUGGGUUAAGUCCCGCAACGAGCGCAACCCUCGUUCCAUGUUGCCAGCACGUAAUGGUGGGGACUCAUGGGAGACUGCCGGGGUCAACUCGGAGGAAGGUGAGGACGACGUCAAAUCAUCAUGCCCCUUAUGUCUUGGGCUUCACGCAUGCUACAAUGGCCGGUACAAUGGGUUGCGAUACUGUGAGGUGGAGCUAAUCCCAAAAAGCCGGUCUCAGUUCGGAUUGGGGUCUGCAACUCGACCCCAUGAAGUCGGAGUCGCUAGUAAUCGCAGAUCAGCAACGCUGCGGUGAAUACGUUCCC
rnacentral:rRNA from 1 species